rnacentral:rRNA from 1 species
GACGAACGCUGGCGGCGUGCUUAACACAUGCAAGUCGAACGAAGAGCGACGGAAGCUUGCUUCUAUCAAUCUUAGUGGCGAACGGGUGAGUAACGCGUAAUCAACCUGCCCUUCAGAGGGGGACAACAGUUGGAAACGACUGCUAAUACCGCAUACGAUCUAACCUCGGCAUCGAGGAUAGAUGAAAGGUGGCCUCUACAUGUAAGCUAUCACUGAAGGAGGGGAUUGCGUCUGAUUAGCUAGUUGGAGGGGUAACGGCCCACCAAGGCGAUGAUCAGUAGCCGGUCUGAGAGGAUGAACGGCCACAUUGGGACUGAGACACGGCCCAGACUCCUACGGGAGGCAGCAGUGGGGAAUCUUCCGCAAUGGACGAAAGUCUGACGGAGCAACGCCGCGUGAGUGAUGACGGCCUUCGGGUUGUAAAGCUCUGUUAAUCGGGACGAAAGACCUUCUUGCGAAUGGUGAGAAGGAUUGACGGUACCGGAAUAGAAAGCCACGGCUAACUACGUG